UACGUAGGUGGCAAGCGUUGUCCGGAAUUAUUGGGCGUAAAGCGCGCGCAGGCGGCCUUUUAGGUCUGAUGUGAAAGCCCACGGCUCAACCGUGGAAGGUCAUUGGAAACUGAAAGGCUUGAGUACAGAAGAGGAAAGCGGAAUUCCACGUGUAGAGGUGAAAUUCGUAGAUAUUGGGAAGAACACCGGUGGCGAAGGCGGCGACCUGGUCCUUUUACUGACGCUGAGGCGCGAAAGCGUGGGGAGCAAACAGG
rnacentral:rRNA from 1 species